rnacentral:rRNA from 1 species
ACUCAAAGGAAUUGACGGGGGCCCGCACAAGCGGUGGAGUAUGUGGUUUAAUUCGACGCUACGCGAAGAACCUUACCAGGCCUUGACAUGGGAAGUUUGGAUUCCGGAAACGGAGUCCUUCAUUUAGUUGGCUUCCACACAGGUGCUGCAUGGCUGUCGUCAGCUCGUGUCGUGAGAUGUUGGGUUAAGUCCCGCAACGAGCGCAACCCUCAUCUUCAGUUGCUACCAGGUUAUGCUGGGCACUCUGAAGAAACCGCCGGUGACAAGCCGGAGGAAGGCGGGGAUGACGUCAAGUCCUCAUGGCCCUUACGGCCUGGGCUACACACGUACUACAAUGGUGGUGACAGUGGGCUGCGAAGUCGCGAGACGGAGCCAAUCCCCAAAAGCCAUCUCAGUUCGGAUUGCACUCUGCAACUCGGGUGCAUGAAGUUGGAAUCGCUAGUAAUCGCGGAUCAGCACGCCGCGGUGAAUACGUUCCCGGGCCUUGUACACACCGCCCGU